rnacentral:rRNA from 1 species
GACGAAGCGUGCGAGCGUUGUUCGGAAUCACUGGGCUUAAAGGGCGCGUAGGCGGGUGGCCAAGUCAGGGGUGAAAUCUUUCGGCCCAACCGGAAAAGUGCCUCUGAUACUGGUCGUCUUGAGGGAGGUAGGGGUCGAGGGAACUGGUGGUGGAGCGGUGAAAUGCGUAGAUAUCACUAGGAACGCCGGUGGCGAAAGCGCUCGACUGGACCUCUUCUGACGCUGAGGCGCGAAAGCCAGGGGAGCAAACGGG